CUACGGGGGGCUCCAGUGAGGAAUAUUGCACAAUGGGGGGAACCCUGAUGCAGCAACGCCGCGUGGAGGAUGACGCAUUUCGGUGUGUAAACUCCUUUUAUAUGUCAAGAAAAUGACGGUAGCAUAUGAAUAAGCACCGGCUAACUCCGGUGCCAGCAGCCGCGGUAAUACGGAGGGUGCAAGCGUUACUCGGAAUCACUGGGCGUAAAGGACGCGUAGGCGGGUUGGAAAGUCAGGUGUGAAAUCCUACAGCUUAACUGUAGAACUGCACUUGAAACUUCUAAUCUAGAGUAUGGGAGGGGGAGAUGGAAUUAGUGGUGUAGGGGUAAAAUCCGUAGAUAUCACUAGGAAUACCUAAAGCGAAGGCGAUCUCCUGGAACAUUACUGACGCUAAGGCGUGAAAGCGUGGGGAGCAAACGGGAUUAGAUACCCCAGUAGUC
rnacentral:rRNA from 1 species